rnacentral:rRNA from 1 species
UACGGAGGGUGCGAGCGUUGUCCGGAAUCACUGGGCGUAAAGGGCGCGUAGGCGGCUCAUGAAGCUGUGGUGAAAGUCCGGGGUUCAACCUCGGAUCGGCCGUGGCGACUCGUGGGCUGGAGCACUGUAGAGGCGGGUGGAAUUCCGGGUGUAGCGGUGGAAUGCGUAGAGAUCCGGAAGAACACCAGUGGCGAAGGCGGCCCGCUGGGCAGUGGCUGACGCUGAAGCGCGACAGCGUGGGGAGCAAACAGG